GGAAAGAGGCAUCUGACCCGAGAAGAACAAAGGGGCUUUUUAAGUCCCUUUGAUUCUUCACCUUAAAACCCCGAUCUACGAAGAUCCAGCCGUCUAAACUCAAAUUUGACUUCGGUAAUGUGAUUUACGAAGCCCGAUCAACGUUUCUAUCGAUUUGGUUUGAGGAUUUGCACGGUUUGGAGCUUCCUAAACGGUCACCAAGUGUUGGAUUUUAUUUGGGUGAAUUUUAUGAUGCAUUGCAUGGUGGUGUCUAGGAGACCUAAUGCUUAAUAUCCAUGCAGCCAAGAUGAUGACUUGAGAAACUGCACUAAAUGGCUGUUUAUAGACAAAGAUUAGAGCUCGAGUGGUCUUCAAGUUAAAGAUAUAUAGUUUGUAUUUUGUUUGUAGUCUUCUGUGUUUAUAACAUUUUAUGUUGACACGAUUGCUAAUAAUUUCCAUGUAUUCUCUUGUGUCACUAUGGACACCUGUUUCCAUGUAUUUGUUCUAAGUAUUUUCUAUUGAAUGUCUAGAGGUAUUUAAUUUAAAAAGCUC